rnacentral:rRNA from 1 species
GACGAACGCUGGCGGCGUGCUUAACACAUGCCAGUCGAACGGAAAGGCCCUGCGUUUGUGGGGUGCUCGUGUGGCGAACGGGUGAGUAACACGUGAGUAACCUGCCCUUGACUGUGGGAUAACUUCAGGAAACUGGGGCUAAUACCGGAUAGGAGCUCCUGCUGCAUGGGGGUGGUUGGAGAGUGUCGGCGGUGGGGGCUGGACUCGCUGCUUAUCAGCUUGUUUGUGGGGUAGUGGCUUACCACGGCUUUGACGGGUAGCCGGCCUGAGAGGGUGACCGGCCACAUUGGGACUGCGAUACGGCCCAGUCUCCUACGGGCGGCAGCAGGGGGGAAUAUGGCACAGUGGGCGGAAGCCUGAUGCAGAAACGCCGCGUGCGUGAUGACGGCCUUCGGGUGGUAAACCGCUUUCGCCUGUGACGAAGCGUGCGUGACGGUAACGGGUCAAGAAGCACCGGCUAACUACGUG